GAUGAACGCUAGCGGCAGGCUUAAUACAUGCAAGUCGAGGGGUAACAGGUCUGUAGCAAUACAGAUGCUGACGACCGGCAAACGGGUGCGGAACACGUACAGAACCUUCCUUCGAGUGGGAGAUAGCCCAGGGAAACUUGGAGUAAUAUCCCAUAGGAUCAUAGAGUGGCAUCACUUAGUGAUUAAAGAUUUAUCGCUUGAAGAUGGCUGUGCGGCUGAUUAGGUAGUUGGUGUAGGUAACGGCUCACCAAGCCUUCGAUCAGUAACUGGUGUGAGAGCACGACCAGUCACACGGGCACUGGGACACGGGCCCGACUCCUACGGGAGGCAGCAGUAAGGAAUAUUGGGCAAUGGAGGCAACUCUGACCCAGCCAUGCCGCGUGGAGGAUGAAGGUCCUCUGGAUUGUAAACUUCUUUUAUUUGGGAAGAAAUGCCGAUUUUCUAAUUGGUUUGACGGUACCAGAUGAAUAAGCGCCGGCUAACUCCGUGCCAGCAGCCGCCGUAACAC
rnacentral:rRNA from 1 species